rnacentral:sRNA from 1 species
ACCAAAUUUUAAUUACAUGUAUGAAAUAUUUUAUGUGCAAUAAAUAAAAUGUACAUGUUCAGACGAUUUGGAAAAAUAAUAUGAAAAUAAUUAAUUUAUAAAAUUAUUUCAAAUGUUAUAUUUGUUAUAAUUACCAUAUUAUAAAUUAAUAUAAUUUUCAUCGCUUAUCACCUUAGCAUGCAUUUAUUGUUUAUUCCUUUAUAAAUAUAUAAUAAAUAUUUUAUGCAAUUUAUGUUUUUCUACAUAUUUCCUUGUAUAUCUAUUUAUUAUAUUAUUUAUGACUGAAUAGAUAAGACGGCAACAUUUAUGACCAUGAUUAUUAAAUGCAUUGAGUCAUAAAAGCGGAACAAAA